rnacentral:tRNA from 1 species
GUUGUUGGCUCAGUGGUAGAGCGCUUGCCUAGCAUGUGAGAGGUCCUGGGUUCAAUCCUCAGCACCACA